GUCCUAGUAGCUUAAUUGGUAAAGCCUUAUAAUGUCGCUAUAAGAAAUGACGGUUCGAUCCCGUUCUAGGUCG
rfam:Debaryomyces hansenii mitochondrion, complete genome.